AGAGUUUGAUCCUGGCUCAGAACGAACGCUGGCGGCAGGCCUAACACAUGCAAGUCGAGCGCCCCCGCAAGGGGGAGCGGCGGACGGGUGAGUAACGCGUGGGAAUUUUCCUCAAGGUACGGAACAACUCAGGGAAACUUGGGCUAAUACCGUAUGAUGUCUAGCGACCAAAGAUUUAUCGCCUUGGGAUAAGCCCGCGUCAGAUUAGGUAGUUGGUGGGGUAACGGCCUACCAAGCCUGCGAUCUGUAGCUGGUCUGAGAGGACGAUCAGCCACACUGGGACUGAGACACGGCCCAGACUCCUACGGGAGGCAGCAGUGGGGAAUCUUGCGCAAUGGGCGAAAGCCUGACGCAGCCAUGCCGCGUGAAUGAUGAAGGUCUUAGGAUUGUAAAGUUCUUUCGCCCGUGACGAUGAUGACGGUAACGGAGAAGAGCC
rnacentral:rRNA from 1 species